rnacentral:rRNA from 1 species
UACGGAGGGUGCGAGCGUUGUCCGGAUUUAUUGGGCGUAAAGAGCGUGUAGGCGGCCAGGUAGGUCUGCUGUGAAAACUCGAGGCUCAACCUCGAGACGUCGGCGGAAACCAUCUGGCUAGAGUCCGGAAGAGGAGAGUGGAAUUCCUGGUGUAGCGGUGAAAUGCGCAGAUAUCAGGAGGAACACCGGUGGCGAAGGCGGAUCUCUGGGCCGAUACUGACGCUGAGGAGCGAAGGCGUGGGGAGCGAACAGG